UACGAAGGGGGGCUAGCGUUGCUCGGAAUCACUGGGCGUAAAGCGCACGUAGGCGGCUUACUAAGUCAGGGGUGAAAUCCUGGAGCUCAACUCCAGAACUGCCUUUGAUACUGGAGAGCUCGAGUCCGGAAGAGGUGAGUGGAACUCCGAGUGUAGAGGUGAAAUUCGUAGAUAUUCGGAAGAACACCAGUGGCGAAGGCGGCUCACUGGUCCGGUACUGACGCUGAGGUGCGAAAGCGUGGGGAGCAAACAGG
rnacentral:rRNA from 1 species